rnacentral:sRNA from 1 species
UAUAUCCAGGAAGCAGUUAAUUUAACCUGGGAAUUGGGUGUUCAAUCAUCGAUUCAGGCUUGGAGUUUUCUCAGGACUCCCCAUUGUGCCGCCUCUGGUUUCUCGUUAGUGGUACACUAAGGCUUGACAUGGUUCUAACCAAAAUACCCCGUGGUGAAUGCGGCUGGAUGAUUCAGUCACUCAUCUACGGCCUUUCUCCUUGUACCCUCUACGUUCCCGCAUGUAAAGAUUUUUUUAAACUAACGACAGAAAAGUAGAAGUGUGAUAUAUUUCUCAUACAUCAUAUAAUUUUUUGAUUUUCCAGGC